CCUGGGGCUGUAGUAGGUCCCAAGGGUUGGGGGGUUCGCCCAUUAAAGGGGUUAGCGGGAUGUGUUCAGAACGUCGUGAGCGAGUGCGGGCCCUAUCCGUCUCAGGCGUAGGAAAUUUGAGGAGACCGUUCCUUAGGACGAGAGGAACGGGAUGGACGAACCUCUGGUGUACCAGUGGUCCUGCGAAGGGCAGGGCUGGGUAGCUAUGUACGGAAUGGAUAAGCGCUGAAAGCAUCUAAGCGCGAAGCCAACUUCAAGAUAAGAUUUCCCACCGCAAGGGUAAGACCCCAGAAAGACUAUCUGG
rnacentral:rRNA from 1 species